CCCUGAACGACACCGACUACGCUAAUGUUGCGGCUGAAAUUUGUGCUUUAAAUACAGGAUUGGGGAACCCCACGGUUAAUGAUGAAAACUUGCAUAACAACAUUAGAUCAUCUGAUCGAGAUGUGGUGUGGGGAGUUGCAGGUCUCCACACACUCGCGAAUUUGUCUAACCUCCUGGAUAGCAUACCCAAUACAUCAGGGUUUCUAAGAAAUAACGAGAACGG